CACGUAGUUAGCCGUGGCUUCCUCCUCAGGUACCGUCAUUAUCGUCCCUGAAGACAGAGCUUUACAAUCCGAAGACCGUCAUCACUCACGCGGCGUUUCUGCAUCAGGGUUUCCCCCAUUGUGCAAUAUUCCCCACUGCUGCCUCCCGUAGGAGUCUGGGCCGUGUCUCAGUCCCAAUGUGGCCGAUCACCCUCUCAGGUCGGCUACGCAUCGUCGCCUUGGUGAGCCGUUACCUCACCAACUAGCUAAUGCGACGCGGGUCCAUCUCAUAGCGGAUUACUCCUUUAAUUGCUAUGCCAUGCGGCAUUACAAUCUUAUGCGGUAUUAAUCUUCCUUUCGAAAGGCUAUUCCCCUCUAUGAGGCAGGUUACCCACGUGUUACUCACCCGUCCGCCGCUAAUCCGUUCCCGAAGGAACUUCAUCGCUCGACUUGCAUGUGUUAAGCACGCCGCCAGCGUUCUCUGAGCCAGGAUCAAACUCU
rnacentral:rRNA from 1 species